AGCAGUUUGCACAAGGUGGACUGACGUUCCAGGUAGGACAGUGUGUAUAGGACCAUGUGCUGCUCCUCGACACCUCUACCUGAUUCAUAGGUGAAACAAGAAGCAGAGUUCAGAGCCCUGCAGUGAUAGAAGGACACAAAUGUGCUUAGGAACCCAGAAAGAUUUAGUGUGGCCUUAGAGUAGUAAAAGAACAUUUCUAUUGAAAAUAUGAGCUUGAUAUUGGGAACGAUUUAUAAAAUUGGUAAACAGCUUGAUCUAUAAUUAUGCUCUCUUGGGAAAAAAAUACCCCCCUUACUCACUGAGAACUCUAGAAAAAGUUUGUUUUAAGAAAUCCCAUUGCUCUGGCUAUCUUAUAGUGUUUGUAACAUUAUGGAAUAGAAACAUCAUUUAGAUGGUCAAAAAAUAAACAGAUUACUUUAGGAAAAACAGACAAAAAAAGAAAAAUAUCAUACAUACCCAAGAUUAUUCAGGAGAAACUAAGUUGAAAACAAUGCUUUGUUUCCUUAUAAACACGACACUACUUAUUAAUAAAAGCAAAAAUCCACUAUGACAUUAGUAGAAACCACAAAACCUUCCACUAUAUCUUUGCAACAUCAUGCAGAGAGGAAGGCACCGGCUGACCUCGACAGUCAAAGUCCCAUCCAGUCGAGGUCCUUGGAAUCUCAAGAACUGUUUGCAUUGUGAGUUGCUGUCUUCACAGCGGUGGCCGCUGGCCGCGCCAGUGGGUUUUAGUUUCUUUUGUCUGAAGAACAAUGGUUCUCAAACUUCAGCAUCUGAAUUCACCUAAGGGUUCCAAGCCACAAAUGCCCAGGUUUCUGAUUCUAUACAUUUGGCAAUUUGCAUUUCCAGCAGGCUCCCAGAUGAAGCCACUGCUGCUACUCUGGGAACCCAAGGGUAGAAAUCAUUUACUUUCAGAUCAGCCUGACGUAUCAAGCACUAAUCUCAACUGACCCGUGGGCAGACAGCAUGGGAUUAGAUUACUUACAACAUUCCAGUUCACCCUUCUCAGUUUUAUUGUACGACAAUUGGUUCUUACACAUUAGAAGACAAUGAAUGUAUACCUUCUAUGGGACAAUGAGAUAGCUAUAAACUCAUCUUUGUAUUUAUAAACAUUAACCCUAUUAAUGGUUGAUUGUAUCCUGUUGACCCUUUGACUUGUAUUGAAGGUGAUCUUAAAUUUAUAUGGUAUUUGCAUUCCUUUCUAUAUAAUUUUAAUGAGGUAUUUCCAUGUAUGGCUCCAUUACAGCCUGGCUCCUGGCUUUCAGAGGUUUUUGAGUCAUUGCUUGCUUGCCAGUUACUUUAUGUCAUGGAUUGGUCAUUAACAUUAUAAGCAUUUCGAAAAUGCUAUGACACUUCUUAUGGUAACCUCAUCAUUUAUUUAACUGUGUGUUGUAAAUUAGGACUUUAGUUUCAUGUUUAUCUGUCAAGUGUCUACUAAAUGGCUUUGUGGAAAAUAUCAAAAUGAAACAAUUCCUUUUGAGCAGUAGGUAUGCCUAUCUUGACUUUUUAGUAAACUUUGUGUUUAUAAAGAUAUCUGCACAAUGAAAAUUAGUUAUUAUUCCACAUGACGGGCUAUAUGCGAAAGUCAACGUAUGUGCUUUGAGAAUUUAGUGAAGUUAACCCUAAUACAGAUGGGGCCUUAGUUUGUAUUUUAACUCCUUGCCCAAUUAGCCUUAGAAAUUCAUUUUUGAUUGAAAAAUAAGGGCCGUAUAAUAGGAAGAGGAGGAGCUGAUAAUCUGUGUUUUUAUUAAAUUCAACACCCAAGUAAAACAAGUUUCAUUAACGUAAGUCCAUCUACUAAGAAGACUGAAGCAGGAGGACCAUAAGUAUGAGCUUUGCCUGGACGGUAGAGUGAGAUUAUGUCUCAAAAAUAAAUAAGUAAAUACACAUGAAUGAUAAACAGUGAAUCAUACAAGGGAUGGUUUGAGGAAAAUAAUUAAGCAUUCUAAAUAUCACCCAUUUAUAAAUCGUAUCAAUUCUAUAUAAUUCUUAUAUACCUGACAAAGUUUAUCUAAAUACUUUUGUUUAAUAAAUAUUUUGAAAUAGUUUAAAUCAGAUUAUUGCUUGAAUAGAAAGUAAUCAUUCUAGGUUCUUGUAUUAGGGAAAGCAUUAUCCACAAAGUGUUAAGGAUUCAAGUCUUUAUCUUUGUGGUUGAAAAUAAUUGAGGAUAUUUCCUUUUUGUUUUCCGUGACAAUUUAAAAUUAUGCACGUAGUUUGUUUAAUUCAGAUUUCAGUUACACUUUAAAACUCCAUCUCUACAAAUAAUUUUUCCAAACUGUUUCAAUAGCUGUUGCCAAAAAGUGGGAGAGAGGACUUGAAAGCCAAUCUAGGUUUUCUGUUAGACUUAAGGAGGCUUAAGCCCUUGACCACCCAGGCUACAGUGGCCAUCCCACUCUCCUCAGGACUGUGUCCACCCACGGCCACUGCCUCCACUUUUCCUCUGAUGCAUUUUGAAAUCAAUAUGAUAGCAAUCCGUUUCUUGUUAUAUAGCUCCUUUAGUCAAAGAUGAAUGAUUUGGGAAUUUGGGUUUCUCUUCCAUUGAGACCCAGUAGGUUAAAAUAUCCAGCGUGGCCUGAUAGGAUAGGAAAAGGUACCUAGAGAGAAAGGUUACUUUUCAUUCUAGGAAGUUUGGGUGUGGUUUGUGAGGGGAUGUUGGGGAUAAGGAGGUGAGCUAGAACUCAAUGUUUAUUCUCUACCCAUGCCAAAAGACUUCUAUUUUGCAAUGAUUUUCUGAGAGGAAUAAACAAACAAAUUUACAUUUUUGACAGUUUCCCCUAGUCCCAUCCUCAUUUGAUAUAAGGCCAGUAGGUAGAGUUCUUUUUAUCCAUUCUUGUAUUAUACCAAAGAAUGAAUUUAUUUUCAUUAAAAAGUAUAAAUAAAUGAAGUUAAGUAUAGCCAUAAUGAAUGAGUAGACUUACCAUUUUACCUAUAAGAUGGAAAAUUCAUCCUUGCAACUAAUUCACCAGGAGCCUUGAAUUAUUUUGUUUACUCCAAAAGCCUUGUCAAGGAAGUAUCAUUUUUGUUCUGACUUAUUUAGCCACAUUUACAUUUACAAAGUCCUAAAACCCAUUCUCCUUCAAAUGUUAAUAUAACUGGUUUGAUACAAUCUGUCAGUUCACUGUUUUCUGGGUCUCUGUAAGCAAGCUUGCAAGUGUAUUUUGUGUAUAUUUUAUCUGAAGUGAAAAGCGAAUUCUAAAGAGAAAAUAUUUUAAAAGAUAAUGUAUUUAUGUCGCUUGUGUUGUAGAAUAAAGAUUCAAAUGCA
rnacentral:lncRNA from 1 species